UACGUAGGGGGCUAGCGUUGCUCGGAAUCACUGGGCGUAAAGGGUGCGUAGGCGGGUUUUUAAGUCAGGGGUGAAAUCCUGGAGCUCAACUCCAGAACUGCCUUUGAUACUGAAGAUCUUGAGUCCGGGAGAGGUGAGUGGAACUGCGAGUGUAGAGGUGAAAUUCGUAGAUAUUCGCAAGAACACCGGUGGCGAAGGCGGCGCUCUGGACCGAGACUGACGCUGAGGCGCGAAAGCGUGGGGAGCAAACAGG
rnacentral:rRNA from 1 species